rnacentral:rRNA from 1 species
GACGAACGCUGGCGGCGUGCUUAACACAUGCAAGUCGAGCGGUAAGGCCCUUUCGGGGGUACGACGAGCGGCGAACGGGUGGGUAACACGUGGGUGACCUGCCCUCAGCUCUGGGAUAAGCCCGGGAAACUGGGUCUAAUACUGGAUAUGACUCCAUGACGCAUGUUGUGGGGUGGAAAGCCUUGUGCGGCUGAGGAUGGGCCCGCGGCCUAUCAGCUUGUUGGUGGGGUGAUGGCCUACCAAGGCGACGACGGGUAGCCGGCCUGAGAGGGCGACCGGCCACACUGGGACUGAGACACGGCCCAGACUCCUACGGGAGGGCAGCAGUGGGGAAUCUUGCGCAAUGGGCGAAAGCCUGACGCAGCGACGCCGCGUGAGGGAUGACGGCCU